rnacentral:rRNA from 1 species
UGAGGAAUAUUGGACAUGGGCGCAGCCUGAUCCAGCCAUGCCGCGUGCAGGAAGACGCAUCUAUGGUGUGUAAACUGCUUUUGUACGGGAAGAAACACCCCCUCGUGAGGGGGCUUGACGGUACCGUAAGAAUAAGGAUCGGCUAACUCCGUG